AACGAACGCUGGCGGCAGGCCUAACACGUGCAAGUCGAGCGAAGCCUUCGGGCUUAGCGGCGGACGGGUGAGUAACGCGUGGGAACGUGCCCUUUGGUACGGAAUAGCCCCGGGAAACUGGGAGUAAUACCGUAUGUGGUCGAGAGACGAAAGAUUUAUCGCCAAAGGAUCGGCCCGCGUUGGAUUAGGUAGUUGGUGGGGUAAUGGCCUACCAAGCCGACGAUCCAUAGCUGGUUUGAGAGGAUGAUCAGCCACACUGGGACUGAGACACGGCCCAGACUCCUACGGGAGGCAGCAGUGGGGAAUCUUAGACAAUGGGGGAAACCCUGAUCUAGCCAUGCCGCGUGAUCGAUGAAGGCCUUAGGGUUGUAAAGAUCUUUCAGUGGGGAAGAUAAUGACUGUACCCACAGAAGAAGCCCCGGCUAACUCCGUGCCAGCCGCCGCCGUAAUAC
rnacentral:rRNA from 1 species